AUUCCCCUGCGAGGCUCGGCCGCCGCCCUGUGCAACAACCUCAGUGUGCUGCAGCUGCCGGCUCGCAACCUCACGUAUUUUGGCGUGGUUCAUGGACCAAGCGCCCAGCUUCUCAGCGCUGCUCCUGAGGGUGUGCCCUUGGCCCAGCGCCAGCUCCACGCUAAGGAGGGUGCUGGAGUGAGUCCCCCACUUAUCACUCAGGUCCACUGGUGUGUCCUCCCCUUCCGAGUGCUGCUGGUACUCACCUCACAUCGAGGAAUACAGAUGUACGAGUCCAAUGGCUACACCAUGGUCUACUGGCAUGCACUGGACUCUGGAGAUGCCUCCCCAGUACAGGCUGUGUUUGCCCGGGGAAUUGCUGCCAGUGGCCACUUCAUCUGUGUGGGAACGUGGUCAGGCCGGGUGCUGGUGUUUGACAUCCCAGCAAAGGGUCCCAACAUUGUACUGAGCGAGGAGCUGGCUGGGCACCAGAUGCCAAUCACAGACAUUGCCACCGAGCCUGCCCAGGGACAGCUGUGGCAGGGGAUCAUAGCAGCAGGCUAUGGGAACGGACAAGUGCAUCUGUAUGAGGCCACUACAGGAAAUCUACAUGUCCAGAUCAAUGCCCAUGCCCGGGCCAUCUGCGCCCUGGACCUGGCUUCUGAGGUGGGCAAGCUACUCUCUGCAGGUGAGGACACCUUUGUGCAUAUCUGGAAGCUGAGCAGAAACCCAGAGAGUGGCUACAUUGAGGUAUGUGUCAUGGGGUGGGUGGAAUGGGGGGGCCCAAGCAUGGGGCAGCAGGCCCUGACGAGCCCUCUGCUCCCCCAGGUGGAACACUGUCAUGGUGAGUGUGUCUCCGACACCCAGCUGUGUGGUGCUCGAUUUUGUGAUUCCUCAGGCAACUCCUUUGCUGUGACUGGCUAUGACCUUGCGGAGAUCCGGAGAUUCAGCAGUGUGUGAGAA
rnacentral:sRNA from 1 species